rnacentral:rRNA from 1 species
UAGGGAAUCUUCCACAAUGGACGCAAGUCUGAUGGAGCAACACCGCGUGAGUGAAGAAGGCUUUCGGGUCGUAAAACUCUGUUAUUGAAGAAGAACGUGUGUGACAGUAACUGGUCAUGCAGUGACGGUAUUCAAUCAGAAAGUCACGGCUAACUACGUGCCAGCAGCCGCGGUAAUACGUAGGUGGCAAGCGUUGUCCGGAUUUAUUGGGCGUAAAGCGAGUGCAGGCGGUCUUUUAAGUCUGAUGUGAAAGCCUUCGGCUUAACCGAAGAAGGGCAUCGGAAACUGGGAGACUUGAGUGCAGAAGAGGAGAGUGGAACUCCAUGUGUAGCGGUGAAAUGCGUAGAUAUAUGGAAGAACACCAGUGGCGAAGGCGGCUCUCUGGUCUGUAACUGACGCUGAGGCUCGAAAGCGUGGGUAGCAAACAGGAUUACGAUACCCUGG